rfam:Ictidomys tridecemlineatus contig101135, whole genome shotgun sequence.
GGUGUUGUAGCUCAGUGGUGUAGUACUUGCCUCACAUGCAUGAGGCACAGGUUUCAAUCCUCAACACCA